rnacentral:lncRNA from 1 species
UCUUGGUGCUAACACAUUUACUGUAUAAUGGUGGCCAGUUUUAACUGGCGGAGCAAGUCGGAGUAACCAGCGAGAACUAUCGAUAUUAUUCUGAAAAACUUGUUAUUCCAAUUUACAAAAUCUGAGUCAUCUUGCCGUAGCGGGAUCUGGACUCAAAACUUUUGUGUGUUGAUAGGCUUAGCGAUCACUGUGUCUUUUUCAAAAUUAUCCUAUUAAGAGGUUGUUAACUGUUAAAUAUAGAUAUAAUUUUUUCCAUGUUUUGUCCUAUUUUUUUUUAUUUUUCUAUUCCUUUUUAAAAUAUUUCUUGCAUUAAGUUCCCAAAACGUUAUGUCUCCUUUCAGCAUUCUUGACUUUUUGAACUUUGCUCAGAUAUUUCUCCACAGGUUUCAGAAACCGUUAUAAUUUGCAAAUUGAGGUAAGUUGUCUUUCAAAUAGCCUUCAAUCCAUGUCCCAUCUCUG